rnacentral:tRNA from 1 species
AAGACAUUAGUAAAACUGUAAAUUACAUCACUUUGUCAAGGUGAAAUAGUAGGUUAGACCCCUGCAUGUCUUA